AGAGUUUGAUCCUGGCACAGGACGAACGCUUGCGGCGUGCCUAAGAAAUGCAAGUCGAGCGAGGUUCAGCCUUCGGGCGAAGACCUAGCGGCGAACGGUCGCGCAACACGUAAGCAACCUGCCCUAAAAUGGGGGAUAGCCCACCGAAAGGUGGAUUAAUACCGCAUGUGGACAUUGGAUCGCAUGUACCGAUGUCUAUAGCAGCAAUGCGUUUUAGGAUGGGCUUGCGGCCUAUCAGCUAGUUGGUGUGGGUAACGGCUUACCAAGGCGACGACGGGUAGCUGGUCUGAGAGGAUGGUCAGCCGGACUGGGACUGAGAUACGGCCCAGACUCCUACGGGGGGCAUCAAUUAGGAAUCUUGCGCAAUGGGCGAAAGCCUGACGCAGCGACGCCGCGUGACUGAUGAAGUCUUUCGGGAUGUAAAGGUCUUUUGCAUGGGACGAAGGAAGUGACGGUACCAUGCGAAUAAGCCCCGGCUAACUACGUGCCAGCAGCCGCGGUAAUACGUAGGGGGCGAGCGUUGUCCGAAUUCACUGGGCGUAAAGCGCGCGUAGGCGGACAUGUAAGUUGUGGGUGAAAUCCCGAGGCUUAACCUCGGAGCUGCCUGCAAAACUGCAUGUCUUGAGGUUUGGAGAGGGAAGUGGAAUUCCAGGUGUAGCGGUGAAAUGCGUAGAUAUCUGGAGGAACACCCGUGGCGAAGGCGGCUUCCUGGCCAUAUCCUGACGCUGAGGUGCGAAAGCUAGGGGAGCGAACGGGAUUAGAUACCCCGGUAGUCCUAGCCGUAAACGAUGGAUACUAGGUGUUAGAGGUAUCGACCCCUCUAGUG
rnacentral:rRNA from 1 species